GACGAACGCUGGCGGCGUGCUUAACACAUGCAAGUCGAACGGAAAGGCCCUGCUUUUGUGGGGUGCUCGAGUGGCGAACGGGUGAGUAACACGUGAGUAACCUGCCCUUGACUUUGGGAUAACUUCAGGAAACUGGGGCUAAUACCGGAUAGGAGCUCCUGCUGCAUGGUGGGGGUUGGAAAGUUUCGGCGGUUGGGGAUGGACUCGCGGCUGAUCAGCUUGUUGGUGGGGGAGUGGUUUACCAAGGCUUUGACGGGUAGCCGGCCUGGGAGGGUGACCGGCCACAUUGGGACUGGGGUGCGGCCCAGACUCCUACGGGGGGCAGCGGUGGGGAAUAUUGCACAAUGGGCGGAAGCCUGAUGCAGCAACGCCGCGUGCGGGAUGACGGCCUUCGGGUUGUAAACCGCUUUCGCCUGUGACGAAGCGUGAGUGACGGUAAUGGGUAAAGAAGCACCGGCUAACUACGUG
rnacentral:rRNA from 1 species